UUGGCCCUGAAUCAAGGUCAACAGUUUGCUAAAGCUGUUGGUUUCAAGCUGUUGUCUUUCUGUGGCCUGUUGGCCAUUUCAGAAAUCUGGAAAUGUAGUGGUCAGUUCAUUAGAAAGAAACAUGU
rnacentral:snoRNA from 1 species